rnacentral:ncRNA from 1 species
GGUGGCAGCACGCCGUCACGUCCGGGCCACUCGGUUGGCGAACGCAGCGCUUCUUAGAGGGACGGGCGGCAGAAAGCCGCAAUAGGCGGAGCGAUAGCAGGUCUGUGAUGCCCUUAGAUGUCCGAGGCCGCACUCGCGCUACACUGGAGGUAUCAGCGGGCGCGUCUCCCCCGGCUCGAGAAGGUCGGGAAACCUCUGAACCACCUCCCGUGAUAGGGAUCGGGGCCUGGAACCAACCCCGUGAACGAGGAAUUCCUGGUAGGCGCGGGUCAUCAGCUCGCGUCGAUCACGUCCCUGCCCUUUGUAUACACCGCCCGUCGCUACUACCGAUCGAACGGUCCGAUGAGGUCCUCGGAUCUGGCCGACGUGUCCGCUACGCGCGGCGGCGUUCCGCGCCGUCACCGGCACGUUCUCUGAUGGCCCGGAGAAGACGACCGAACCCGAUCGCUUUGAGGAAGUAAAAGUCGUAACAUUAUUAUUUCUCUUUAUCACAGGUUUUGUUGGAGGUCCUGAUGGCGAAGAAACGAUUAUAG